rnacentral:rRNA from 1 species
UACGGAGGAUCCAAGCGUUAUCCGGAUUUAUUGGGUUUAAAGGGCGCGUAGGCGGGUUCGCAAGUCUGUGGUGAAAGCCUCCAGCUUAACUGGAGAAGUGCCAUGGAUACUGCGAAUCUUGAGGAGGGUAGGGGCAUCUGGAACGGUCGGUGGAGCGGUGAAAUGCGUUGAUAUCGACCGGAACUCCGGUGGCGAAGGCGAGGUGCUGGACCCUUUCUGACGCUGAGGCGCGAAAGCCAGGGGAGCAAACGGG